rnacentral:rRNA from 1 species
GAUGAACGCUGGCGGCGUGCCUAAUACAUGCAAGUCGAGCGAACAGACGAUGAGCUUGCUCCUUUGACGUUAGCGGCGGACGGGAGAGUAACACGUGGAUAACCUACUUAUAAGACUGGGAUAAUUUCGGGAAACCGGAGCUAAUACCGGAUAAUAUAUUGAACCGCAUGGUUCAAUAGUGAAAGACGGUUUUGCUGUCACUUAUAGAUGGAUCCGCGCCGCAUUAGCUAGUUGGUAAGGUAACGGCUUACCAGGGCUACGAUGCGUAGCCGACCUGAGAGGGGGAUCGGCCACACUGGAACGGAGACACGGUCCAGACUCCUACGGGAGGCAGCAGUAGGGAAUCUGCCGCAAUGGGCGAAAGCCUGACGGAGCAACGCCGCGUGAGUGAUGAAGGUCUUCGGAUCGUAAAACUCUGUUAUUAGGGAAGAACAGAUGUGUAAGUAACUAUGCACGUCUUGACGGUACCUAAUCAGAAAGCCACGGCUAACUACGUG